GCAUAUCAAUAAGCGGAGGAAAAGAAACCAACAGGGAUUGCCUCAGUAACGGCGAGUGAAGCGGCAACAGCUCAAAUUUGAAAUCUGGCCCUAGGCCCGAGUUGUAAUUUGCAGAGGAUGUUUCUGGCGAGGUGCCUUCCGAGUUCCCUGGAACGGGACGCCAUAGAGGGUGAGAGCCCCGUACGGUUGGUCGCUAAGCCUCUGUGAAACUCCUUCGACGAGUCGAGUAGUUUGGGAAUGCUGCUCUAAAUGGGAGGUAUACGUCUUCUAAAGCUAAAUACCGGCCAGAGACCGAUAGCGCACAAGUAGAGUGAUCGAAAGAUGAAAAGCACUUUGAAAAGAGGGUUAAAUAGUACGUGAAAUUGUUGAAAGGGAAGCGCUUAUGACCAGACUUGGACCGGUUGAUCAUCCAUCGUUCUCGGUGGUGCACUCUGCCGGUUCAGGCCAGCAUCAGUUCGUCCCGGGGGAUAAAGGCUUUGGGAAUGUGGCUCUUCGGAGUGUUAUAGCCCACUGCGUAAUACCCUGGGAUGGACUGAGGUUCGCGCUCCGCAAGGAUGCUGGCGUAAUGGUCAUCAGUGACCCGUCUUGAAACACGGACCAAGGAGUCGUCUUCGUAUGCGAGUGUUCGGGUGUCAAACCCCUACGCGUAAUGAAAGUGAACGUAGGAGAGAGCUUCGGCGCAUCUCCGACCGAUCCUGAUGUUCUCGGAUGGAUUUGAGUAAGAGCAUACGGGGCCGGACCCGAAAGAAGGUGAACUAUGCUUGUAUAGGGUGAAGCCAGAGGAAAACUCUGGUGGAGGCUCGCAGCGGUUCUGACGUGCAAAUCGAUCGUCAAAUAUGAGCAUGGGGGCGAAAGACUAAUCGAACCUUCUAGUAGCUGGUUUCCGCCGAAGU
rnacentral:rRNA from 1 species